AGAGUUUGAUCCUGGCUCAGGAUGAACGUUUGUAGCAUGCCUAACAUAUGCAAGUCGAAUGGGGGGAUGGCAACAUCUCUUGCUCGAGAGAGCCUAGCAUGGCGUACGGGUGAGUAAUGCUUAUCUUACCUACCUUUUAGUGGGGGGCAAGGACUUUAACCCCAUGGGCAACCAUGGGGAGUUUGAAUACCGCAUAUUCUUUGGCUUUGGCCAAAGCAAAGGAAGCUUUCGGGCUUUCGCUAAAUGAGGGGGAUAAGUCGUAUCAGCCGAUGAAAGUAGGGUAAUGGCCUACUGAGGCAAUGACGCGUAGCCGGGCUGAGAGGCUGAUCGGCCACAAGGGAACUGAAACACGGUCCCUACUCCUACGGGAGGCAGCAAUGAGGAAUCGUUGGCAAUGGGGGAAACCCUGACCACGCAACGCUACGUGAAGGAAGAAGGUCUACGGAUUGUAAACUUCUUUACCAGAGGGUACUGACGUAUGGAUUGCCCUUUGGCAAAAAGUCACGACUAACUACGUGCCAGCAGUCGCGGUAAGACGUAGGUGGCGAACGUUAUCCGGAAUUAUUGGGCGUAAAGGGUGCGUAGAUGGCCUGAUAAGUUAGCAGUGGGAAAUCGAGGCUCAACCUCGUGGAAACUGAUAAUACUGUCUGGCUCGAGUGCAGGAGAGGUUAACGGAACUCCAUGUGGAGCGGUAAAAUGCACAGAUAUAUGGAUGAACACCAAUAACGGCGAAGGCAGUUAACUAUUCUGUUACUGACAUUGAGGCACGAAAGCGUGGGGAGCAAAACGGAUUAGAUACCCGUGUAGUCCACGCCCUAAACGAUGAGUGCUAGAUAUUGGGAACUUGAUUCUCAGUGUUGCUAGAUAACUCGGUAAGCACUCCGCCUGGGUAGUACGGUCGCAAGGCUGAAACUCAAAGGAAUUGACGGGGACUCGCACAAGCAGUGGAGCAUGUGGUUUAAUCCGAUACGACGCGUAGAACCUUACCAAGGCUUGACAUGUAAGGUAGCAAUACUAAACUAGGGAAACCUAGUUGAAUUACACAGGUGCUGCAUGGCCGUCGUCAGUUCGUGCCGUGAGGUGUAUGGUUAAGUCCUACAACGAACGUAACCCUUGGGCUUAGUUGCCAGCAUUCAGUUGGGGACUCUAAGCCGACUGCAGAUAUGCCUAGCAUAUCUAUUACUGAGUAAUCAGGAGGAAGGAAAGGAUGACGUCUGGUCGUCAUGGCCCUUAUGUCUUGGGCGACACACGUGCUACAAUGGUUAGCACAAAGCGUUGCCAACCCGCGAGGGGGAGCCAAUCGCAAAAAACUAACCUUAGUUCGGAUUGGAGGCUGCAACUCGCCUCCAUGAAGUCGGAAUUGCUAGUAAUCGCAAAUCAGCCAUGUUGCGGUGAAUACGUUCUCGAGUCUUGUACACACCGCCCGUCAAGUCACGAAAGUCGGUAGUACCUGAAACCAGCUCCCGCAAGGGAAACCUCCGCAAGGGGGAGAAAGCUGACAAGGGUAGGAUUGGUGAUUGGGGCUAAGUCGUAACAAGGUAGCCGUAG
rnacentral:rRNA from 1 species